rnacentral:rRNA from 1 species
GAUGAACGCUGGCGGCGUGCCUAAUACAUGCAAGUCGAGCGAACGGACGAGAAGCUUGCUUUUCUGAUGUUAGCGGCGGACGGGUGAGUAACACGUGGAUAACCUACCUAUAAGGCUGGGAUAACUUCGGGAAACCGGAGCUAAUACCGGAUAAUAUUUUGAACCGCAUGGUUCAAAAGUGAAAGACGGUCUUGCUGUCACUUAUAGAUGGAUCCGCGCUGCAUUAGCUAGUUGGUAAGGUAACGGCUUACCAAGGCAACGAUGCAUAGCCGACCUGAGAGGGUGAUCGGCCACACUGGAACUGAGACACGGUCCAGACUCCUACGGGAGGCAGCAGUAGGGAAUCUUCCGCAAUGGGCGAAAGCCUGACGGAGCAACGCCGCGUGAGUGAUGAAGGUCUUCGGAUCGUAAAACUCUGUUAUUAGGGAAGAACAGAUGUGUAAGUAACUGUGCACAUCUUGACGGUACCUAAUCAGAAAGCCACGGCUAACUACGUG